CAAAUGCAAAGCUUAUCAAGUACUUGGUGGGAACCUACUUAGAUGUGGAUCUAUCUCAAGAUGGUGUAGUGGGUUACCUAAAUUUUCUCAGAAUCAAGUUAGAGAAAGAUCUGUCUUCUCCUUUCUUGCAGGGUUUUAAAAGCCAGAAGCAUGAUGGUUACCACUGGAUCAAACUGAGGUACGAAAAAUUGCCUGAUAUUUGCUUUAAUUGCAGUAUUAUAGGUCAUAUUAGUAAAACUUGUAGCAAAGAAAAAGUUGUUUCUACUCAAUAAGAGGGUUCUUCCUCUAAACAUCAAUUCGGCCCUUGGCUUAGUGCCCCCCUGAUGGGCAAACCUCAAUCUUUUCUCUCCUAGUGAAACCCAAAAACACCAUCUACAACCCUUUACAUCACAGACAAACCCUCAAAGCCACAACAAGAUCAAAUUUAACAGAAUCAAAUAACUUUUUUUUACCUUUCACAACCCUUACCAUACACCUUACUCCAACCUAAACCCGGUGUCUGUCCCUCCCACCAUGACCCUCCCUGAGCAAAACCCUCCAAUUUGAUCAGAUGUAGAAAAUGACCAUUUUUCCUCUUUGGGCAAACCUUUGGUAGGUAUCUCACACAUCUCUGCAACCUUCACUUCAAAGGAAACCUUGAGCCAAAUGCUGAAAAAAAAAAAACUAUUCCCGAGGUCUCUUCAUAGGAGGUUUUCCCUACAGAAAGCUUUCCUCAGUUCUUCCACCAGUACCUCACCUCUAUUAGAAGGUCAGGAGUCAACAUAAAGGAGCUUUUUGAGAAAUUUCCUUUCUUAAUUGAUCAUUUCCAGAUCGAAACUUCUUAGUUUGCUCUCUGAUCCAAAUUUUGUAGUAGCUUAUUCACAAG
rnacentral:misc_RNA from 1 species